GGCCGGUUAGCUUAGUCAGUUGAGCGUGGUGCUAACAUCGCCAAGGUCACGGGUUCUAUUCCCAUUCAGUCCC
rnacentral:tRNA from 1 species